rnacentral:rRNA from 1 species
AUUGAACGCUGGCGGCAGGCCUAACACAUGCAAGUCGAGCGAGCGGCGGACGGGUGAGUAAUGUCUGGGAAACUGCCUGAUGGAGGGGGAUAACUACAGGAAACGGUAGCUAAUACCGCAUACCAUCAGAUGUGCCCAGCUGGGAUUAGAUAGUAGGUGGGGUAACGGCUCACCUAGGCGACGAGCCCUAGCUGGUCUGAGAGGAUGACCAGCCACACGGGAACUGAGACACGGUCCAGACCCCUACGGGAGGCAGCAGUGGGGAAUAUUGCACAAUGGGCGCAAGCCUGAUGCAGCCAUGCCGCGUGUGGGAAGAAGGCCUUCGGGUUGUAAAGCACUUUCAGCGGGGGGGCGUUACCCGCAGAAGAAGCACCGGCUAACUCCGUGCCAGCAGCCGCGGUAAUAC